rfam:Hordeum vulgare subsp. vulgare, WGS project CAJW01000000 data, contig: morex_contig_529831
UUACGCUCCCUCCGUCCGAAAAUACUCGUCGGAAAUGGAUAAAAAUGGAUGUAUCUAGAACUAAAAUACGUUUAGAUACAUCCAUUUCUCCGACAAGUAUUUCCAGACGGAGGGAGUAUAUA